GGUUAAGCGACUAAGCGUACACGGUGGAUGCCCUGGCAGUCAGAGGCGAUGAAGGACGUGCUAAUCUGCGAUAAGCGUCGGUAAGGUGAUAUGAACCGUUAUAACCGGCGAUUUCCGAAUGGGGAAACCCAGUGUGUUUCGACACACUAUCAUUAACUGAAUCCAUAGGUUAAUGAGGCGAACCGGGGGAACUGAAACAUCUAAGUACCCCGAGGAAAAGAAAUCAACCGAGAUUCCCCCAGUAGCGGCGAGCGAACGGGGAGGAGCCCAGAGCCUGAAUCAGUGUGUGUGUUAGUGGAAGCGUCUGGAAAGGCGCGCGAUACAGGGUGACAGCCCCGUACACAAAAAUGCACAUACUGUGAGCUCGAUGAGUAGGGCGGGACACGUGGUAUCCUGUCUGAAUAUGGGGGGACCAUCCUCCAAGGCUAAAUACUCCUGACUGACCGAUAGUGAACCAGUACCGUGAGGGAAAGGCGAAAAGAACCCCGGCGAGGGGAGUGAAAAAGAACCUGAAACCGUGUACGUACAAGCAGUGGGAGCACAGAGCAAUCUGUGUGACUGCGUACCUUUUGUAUAAUGGGUCAGCGACUUAUAUUCUGUAGCAAGGUUAACCGAAUAGGGGAGCCGAAGGGAAACCGAGUCUUAACUGGGCGUUAAGUUGCAGGGUAUAGACCCGAAACCCGGUGAUCUAGCCAUGGGCAGGUUGAAGGUUGGGUAACACUAACUGGAGGACCGAACCGACUAAUGUUGAAAAAUUAGCGGAUGACUUGUGGCUGGGGGUGAAAGGCCAAUCAAACCGGGAGAUAGCUGGUUCUCCCCGAAAGCUAUUUAGGUAGCGCCUCGUGAAUUCAUCUCCGGGGGUAGAGCACUGUUUCGGCAAGGGGGUCAUCCCGACUUACCAACCCGAUGCAAACUGCGAAUACCGGAGAAUGUUAUCACGGGAGACACACGGCGGGUGCUAACGUCCGUCGUGAAGAGGGAAACAACCCAGACCGCCAGCUAAGGUCCCAAAGUCAUGGUUAAGUGGGAAACGAUGUGGGAAGGCCCAGACAGCCAGGAUGUUGGCUUAGAAGCAGCCAUCAUUUAAAGAAAGCGUAAUAGCUCACUGGUCGAGUCGGCCUGCGCGGAAGAUGUAACGGGGCUAAACCAUGCACCGAAGCUGCGGCAGCGACACUGUGUGUUGUUGGGUAGGGGAGCGUUCUGUAAGCCUGUGAAGGUGUGCUGUGAGGCAUGCUGGAGGUAUCAGAAGUGCGAAUGCUGACAUAAGUAACGAUAAAGCGGGUGAAAAGCCCGCUCGCCGGAAGACCAAGGGUUCCUGUCCAACGUUAAUCGGGGCAGGGUGAGUCGACCCCUAAGGCGAGGCCGAAAGGCGUAGUCGAUGGGAAACAGGUUAAUAUUCCUGUACUUGGUGUUACUGCGAAGGGGGGACGGAGAAGGCUAUGUUGGCCGGGCGACGGUUGUCCCGGUUUAAGCGUGUAGGCUGGUUUUCCAGGCAAAUCCGGAAAAUCAAGGCUGAGGCGUGAUGACGAGGCACUACGGUGCUGAAGCAACAAAUGCCCUGCUUCCAGGAAAAGCCUCUAAGCAUCAGGUAACAUCAAAUCGUACCCCAAACCGACACAGGUGGUCAGGUAGAGAAUACCAAGGCGCUUGAGAGAACUCGGGUGAAGGAACUAGGCAAAAUGGUGCCGUAACUUCGGGAGAAGGCACGCUGAUAUGUAGGUGAAGUCCCUCGCGGAUGGAGCUGAAAUCAGUCGAAGAUACCAGCUGGCUGCAACUGUUUAUUAAAAACACAGCACUGUGCAAACACGAAAGUGGACGUAUACGGUGUGACGCCUGCCCGGUGCCGGAAGGUUAAUUGAUGGGGUCAGCGCAAGCGAAGCUCUUGAUCGAAGCCCCGGUAAACGGCGGCCGUAACUAUAACGGUCCUAAGGUAGCGAAAUUCCUUGUCGGGUAAGUUCCGACCUGCACGAAUGGCGUAAUGAUGGCCAGGCUGUCUCCACCCGAGACUCAGUGAAAUUGAACUCGCUGUGAAGAUGCAGUGUACCCGCGGCAAGACGGAAAGACCCCGUGAACCUUUACUAUAGCUUGACACUGAACAUUGAGCCUUGAUGUGUAGGAUAGGUGGGAGGCUUUGAAGUGUGGACGCCAGUCUGCAUGGAGCCGACCUUGAAAUACCACCCUUUAAUGUUUGAUGUUCUAACGUGGACCCGUGAUCCGGGUUGCGGACAGUGUCUGGUGGGUAGUUUGACUGGGGCGGUCUCCUCCUAAAGAGUAACGGAGGAGCACGAAGGUUGGCUAAUCCUGGUCGGACAUCAGGAGGUUAGUGCAAUGGCAUAAGCCAGCUUGACUGCGAGCGUGACGGCGCGAGCAGGUGCGAAAGCAGGUCAUAGUGAUCCGGUGGUUCUGAAUGGAAGGGCCAUCGCUCAACGGAUAAAAGGUACUCCGGGGAUAACAGGCUGAUACCGCCCAAGAGUUCAUAUCGACGGCGGUGUUUGGCACCUCGAUGUCGGCUCAUCACAUCCUGGGGCUGAAGUAGGUCCCAAGGGUAUGGCUGUUCGCCAUUUAAAGUGGUACGCGAGCUGGGUUUAGAACGUCGUGAGACAGUUCGGUCCCUAUCUGCCGUGGGCGCUGGAGAACUGAGGGGGGCUGCUCCUAGUACGAGAGGACCGGAGUGGACGCAUCACUGGUGUUCGGGUUGUCAUGCCAAUGGCACUGCCCGGUAGCUAAAUGCGGAAGAGAUAAGUGCUGAAAGCAUCUAAGCACGAAACUUGCCCCGAGAUGAGUUCUCCCUGACCCUUUAAGGGUCCUGAAGGAACGUUGAAGACGACGACGUUGAUAGGCCGGGUGUGUAAGCGCAGCGAUGCGUUGAGCUAACCGGUACUAAUGAACCGUGAGGCUUAACCUU
rnacentral:rRNA from 1 species